UCAAUGGUUGUUUAAAAUCUAAUACAAAAAUGAAAAAUUGAAAAGAAUGAGUUAUAAUAGUUUGCAAGAGUGUGAUUAUACACACAAGGCUGUGAACGUGGAUGGGUUUUACUGGUUGGCGUGAUGUUUAAUGUCCCUGACAACAUCUGUAGUCCCGUUUAUUUAAGUAAAAAUCCAGAGUGAGGUAUUACUGAUGUAUUAUAUCUUGUAGAAUAAAACAUGAAAAUAUUUAUAAAAAUAAAACUUGUGUUUGGCGCAGACUUUAUUUCAAGCAUUUCAGCAAAAACCCAUUUAAAAAACCCACUGAUUUUGGGACGAUGGAAUGGGAAGUAAAUGCAAUUGAUAAUUUUUUUUUAGCCCUUUUUUGCCUCAGCUCCUGUGCUGCUGUACACUCUUAUCCCUGAAAUUGUUUUAAUUCAAACUACUUAGGUACAAUAAACAUAAACUCCAAAAUGUUUGCACAAUUACUCCAUGUUUUUAGUUUAUUGUACGAUUUGCAUGAUACUUUUUAUUCUAUUGAAGUGUUUAAAUUUAAUGUACUUAACUUAGCUUGUUUUAGUCUGUUGUCAAUGCAACGCAAUGCGAGGAAGAUGUUGAUUGGCUCUUUGAACUGACGUCAGACUCAGACAUGGAUGCAGCGCGCAUUUUCAUCAACGUUUGCUGAUUCAAGUUCAAACAAAGGCUAAUCAAGAUGAUCUGGAAAUAUUACUGAAUAUUUUGCCCACCUUCGGCGUAGACAUCUCAAAGACCACCAAAAAGUUCAAUGUCCAUUUCAAGGCUGUAGCUUUGAAAGCAGUGUAUAUUCCACGUUCAGUGCACACAAAAGUAAGCAUCACAUUUACAAUUAUCACAAUUAACAAAAAAUUAUGCUUGCAUACAACUAAACAAAAAAAUGUCCAAUAAAAUUAAUAUCUAGCAAAAAACUGUACACUGCUAAAAUGUAUUUUAGUAAUCUCCAAUCUCUUGUCCAGGCUUCUGAUGACUCGUACCAACAUGUGCCAGUUGGAAUCCUCAGCUUAGAAAAUGAAGAUGUGGCUCUGCAACCCCUGUCCAUCCACCUCCACCCAUCCUCGGUGGGAAUCAUCUUGGAGGGGAAUGUUGUAAUGGACAAUUUAGACAACAUACCCCAGGCCAUGUGUCUUCUUUUUGGUUUAACUUACGCACUGCACCUAGACUACCCAAAGUGCAUGGGCAACACCUUUCUUUUCAUUCAGCAAGUUUUGCUAGGUUUAGGCAAGAAGGAGUUGAAGGGCAAGAUUCUGGCUGUUACAAAUCAGCUUACCAUGUAAACAGGUACAGUAAAUGCAUGUUUCUUAUGGUUCUCUUUCAGAAUCGAACACUGUGCUUGUUAAAUAUUGGAAAAGUGAUUUUGAUAAGUGAAUUCAAAUAAAUUCUAAGUUCAAAUUAAUGAUUGUUACCCUUUGUCCUUAUUUGUAAUGCAG